rnacentral:misc_RNA from 1 species
GAUGAAGAACGUAGCGAAAUGCGAUAAGUAAUGUGAAUUGCAGAAUUCAGUGAAUCAUCGAGUCUUUGAACGCACAUUGCGCCCCCUGGUAUUCCGGGGGGCAUGCCUGUCCGAGCGUCAUUGCCGCCCUCAAGCACGGCUUGUGUGUUGGGCCCCCGCCCCCCGGCUUCGGGGGGCGGGCCCGAAAGGCAGCGGCGGCACCGCGUCCGGUCCUCGAGCGUAUGGGGCUUCGUCACCCGCUCUGUAGGCCCGGCCGGCGCCCGCCGGCGACCCCAAUCAAUCUUUCCAGGUUGACCUCGGAUCAGGUAGGGAUACCCGCUGAACUUAAGCAUAUCAAUAUGCGGAGGA